rnacentral:rRNA from 1 species
UACGUAGGUGACGAGCGUUAUUCGGAUUCACUGGGCGUAAAGGGUCCGCAGGGGGUUUGCCAAGUCCGGUGUGAAAUCCCGCGGCUCAACUGCGGAACGGCACUGGAAACUGGCGAGCUUGAGUGCAUGAUGGGAGAGCGGAAUUCCUGGUGUAGCGGUGGAAUGCGUAGAUAUCAGGAGGAACACCGACGGCGAAGGCGGCUCUCUGGCGUGCUACUGACCCUCAGGGACGAAAGCGUGGGUAGCAAACAGGAUUAGAUACCCUGGUAGUCCACGCUGUAAACGGUGCGCACUAGAUGUGGGCGGAGUCUGAUCCCGUCCGUGUCCAAGCUAACGCGUUAAGUGCGCCGCCUGGGGACUACGGCCGCAAGGCUAAA